GUGCACAAUAGCUUUUGAACACAGUGGCCAUGGUGCCAGGAAUGGGGGCAAUACCUGGGCCCAAUACCUUGGACUCCCCCUCAUCAAGACUGAGCCAGUUCCAACACUCUGAGGGCUCCAUCGUUCUAAAGCAAGGUCCACGCCAAGCAGCAGGUGUGGUUCUCCUCCUCAGAAGAUCAGCCGAGCUCCUGGUGGCAGGUGGGUUGCCCUGAAUCCCUUCCUUCCAUCCUGGAGAGCACAGUAAUUCAUCCUUACUAGAACCAGUGUGUGCUUGGGGUUCAAGAUUGUCUUCCUUGUCCACUGUGCUUCCACGAAGAAGGCACUGUAAUGAGGUCACCUCAGACUUAUGCACUUUCAGCUCUUACAUUUAGAUUGUGACCCAUUUUGAGUUAAUUUGUCAUAUGCUAAUGAUGUAAUAAUGAUAUGGUAAUCCAUGCAACAGAUCCAUUGGUCUUACUUAGUUGUGCCUUACUGCCCAGAAGCAGGGGGCCUUGCAGAACAGUGGGGCAGCCUGUUGGAAUGCUCAGAAGUCACCAGCAGCAACAUGACACAUAGAGAAGAGCUGCAGGAGGCUGAAGAUGGCACAUCCUCUCCAAGCUGGAGCAGCUGGGAGAGGAAAACACAGCCAGACAACGGUGCUCG